AAGAAAUGAUGCCUUAAUAACGUCUUUAGUGCUGGUUUUUUGGGUUUUUUUUCCAGUGGAACUGUUUUACAAAUCUGAGGGCCACCAUUCCAGGUAUGGCUAGCCUCCCGUUGGAAAAUUUUUACCAUCUUUCUUCAAUGUAGUUCUUAUUCUUGUGGGCAAACCAAGACUUUUCGUUUGGAGGGGACCUUGGGAUCCCCAGGAGGGGAAUCUCCGGGAGCGGGAGGCAUAGCUAAGGCUUCCUCUCUAGAAGGUGGAGUUGUCGUUGCAGCCCGUUUGCCUCUUCGUCUGCCUUUCUGCUUUGCUGCUUUUCGGGGCCUCCUGCAGCGCAUCACUGCCACCUCUUCCAGGGCCCACACAGCGUUUAACAGAGGUGGAAUUUCCUCCUUAUACUUUGUUUUUUCACUUCCAGCCGUUAAAAGUCUUUUAUUCUUUGUAAACAGCCUCAUGAACAUGCAAAGUGGCAGAAGCAUAUUUGGAAUCUGUGUAAAUACUUGCCUUCUGCUCUUUUCCUAGCCAGAGAGCUCUUGUCAGAGCUAUUAGCUCUGCUUUCUAAGCAGAAGUUUCUGCAGACAGAGACGGUACCUCUACUGCUGAGUCCAAAGUCACCGCGGCAUACCCAGCUCGGCAGACUCCCCUUAGUACGAAACUGCUUCCAUCAGUAAAAUAUUCAAUGUCCAGGUCCCCGAGGGGCCAAUCUGUUAAAUCUUUCCAGCUUGAGAACACUUUAUCUACCACGUCCACACAGCAAUGAAGGGGACUUCCUGUGUAGGGUCCAGCCCUACGGGGGCUUAGCGGGUGUUCUCCCCGUGUGCAGAGACAAGAGAUCGUAAGAAAUAAAGACACAAGACAAACAGAUAAAGAGAAAACAGCUGGGCCCAGGGGACCACUACCACCAAGACAUGGAGACCGCUAGUGGCUCCGAACGGCUGGCUGCGCUGAUAUUUAUUGAAUACAAGACAAGGGGGCAGGGUACGGACGGUGAGUCGUCCAAGUAAUUGAUAAGGUGAAGCAAGUCACGUGAUCAUAGGACAGGGGGCCUUUCCCUCUUAGGUAGCCGAGCAGAGAGAGAAGGCAGCAUACGUCAGCGUUUUCUUCUAUGCACUUAUAAGAACAAUCAAAGACUUUAAGACUUUCACUAUUUCUUCUACCGCUAUCUACUACGAACUUCAAAGAGGAACCAGGAGUACGGGAAGAGCAUGAAAGUGGACAAGGAGUGUGAUCAUUCAAGCACCACAGGGAGGGGGUUAGGCCUCCGGAUGACUGCAGGCCAGGCCUGGAGAAUAUCCAGCCUCCCACAAGAAGCUGGCGGAGCAGAGUGUUCCCUGACUCCUCCAAGGAAAGGAGACUCCCUUUCACGGUCGGCUAAGUAACGGGUGCCUUCCCAGGCACUGGCGUUACCGCUUGACCAAGGAGCCCUCAAGCGGCCCUUAUGUUGGCGUGACAGAGGGCUCACCUCUUGCCUUCUAGGUCACUUCUCACAACGUCCCUUCAGCACCUGACCCUAUACCCGCCGGUUAUUCCCAGGUUAUAUAGUAAUGGAACAAAGAGUAAUAUUAAAAGCUAAUGAUUAAUAAUGUUUAUAAUAACGAUUGAUAAUUGUCCGUGAUCAUCUCUAUAUCUAAUUUGUGUUAUGACUCUAUGACUGUUCUUAUUCCAUUUUCUUUAUUAUACUGAAACAGUUUGUGCCUUCAGUCUCUUGCCUGGGCACCUGGGUCAUCCUCCACCCACAGCUGACUUCACACCGUGCUCUUCCUUGAGCAUGUCUCAGGUUUCCGGGAAGCUGAUGUUUUUGGGAGUGCAGAAGGCUUGGGAAGUGUGGUUCCUGGUCUCUUACGUGGCCGUCUGUGGAGUAGCGUCCGGACGCUGGGGUACCGUGGGAAGGGUGGUUCCCGGUCUCUUACGUGGCCGUCUGUGGAGUAGCGUCCGGACGCUGGGGUACCGUGGGAAGGGUGGUUCCUGGUCUCUUACGUGGCCGUCUGUGGAGUAACGUCCGGAUGCUGGGGUACUGUCUCUGGCAGGGCUGUUUUCUCAGGCACCUUCUCCCACCUGGACUCAAGGGUUCUGCUUUCUUAGAAGUUUCUGUUUCCUGCUGUUUGGAAAUUCGUGAAUUGUGUGAGGUCUGAGGAGGGGGGUAACACAUUUCUGAACGUGAAGUUAUACAUUGAGGGUGGGUAGAAGCACUGUGGGCUAAGGAGGCUUCUCUGCAGGACCCCAUCAGGACGGUGUCAGGGCGUGUGGAAACACUGUAGGCUAAGUAAGCAGGCUUCUCUGCAGGACCCCAUCAGGACGGUGUCAGGGCGUGUGGAAAAACUGUAGGCUAAGUAAGGAGGCUUCUCUGCAGGACCCCAUCAGGACGGUGUCAGGGCGGGUAGAAGCACUGUGGGCUAAGUAAGGAGUCUUCUCUGCAGGAGCCGCAUCAGGACAGCGUCAGGUGACUCCAACCUCCUCUUGUAGGGGUGCCAGAGGCCCCUGUGCGCUUUACCAGGCCUGGGAGUCUCCUCUCCUCACCCCAGCUGCUGCAGGACCUCACUGUCUUGGUACAGGUCCCUGCCAGGCCCCAAUGGGGCUUCCACACUCCAGGCCCCACAGGGAGCCCCUCAAGCCUUCGCCUCUCUCGUCACAGGCCUCCUCUGCUGAAAUCUUCCCUUUUCUGGGGCUGCGGUCCUGCUCUAUGUGGGUUCAGAGGCCUAAGCCUCCCCGUGUCUCCUGGUGCAGGUCAGAGACCCAGUGGCCACUGCUCCUGCCCCACAGCAGCCCUCCAGGCCCAGGACCGGGGACGACAGGGAGCACUGACUGAAGAGGAGGCUGUCUUUGGACACGGGGAGGAUUCCAGGGCCUGUGGGGGCAGCUUCGGUGCUCAGGGCUCACACGUGUGACCCCCUCCUUCCGCUUUCCGGGGCCCCUUUGUUUUAUAAAAUGCCACAGAGGUCGAGGGGACAUGAGGGUCAGGGGGGAGGGGGGUUCCUGGACUCGGGGCCACACCCAGUAGGGCUUGGGCAGGGCUCUAGGGCCCCACUGGCCAAAAGCUUCCUGAGAUUACAGCAGUUUCCUCUUCCUGCCUCAGUGCCCCACGGACAGGGGGUGCGAUCUGAGCAGAAUGAGGUGACGUCACUGGGUCAGCGGCUCCUGUGGCAUCUGGCCAAGGACAAUGUGCUGAGAAGUUUCCCCUGAAAAAAUCAGAAACAAAACUCACCUCAGGAGAGGCCCCUGCACCCUCCAAGAGGAAGUGGGAGUCACGUGAGGCUCGUCUUGAUUGGGGUUCCUGGAGAGGAGGCCCCCUCUCCCCAGGUGGGGGCUCCUGUUUCCCCUGCUCUGCUCUGAGGUCCCCAGGGUCCAGUCCCCUCCCCACCCUAUCCUGGAGCUUGUCAAGGCCACCAGAGACCUGCUCCCUGUGCCGUCUCAGACUGGACUCUGGGGUCUCCGGUGCCUCCUCUGAUUCUGCACCUCGGUGCAGCCUCUGGCCUGGCUGCGCUCUGAGGAGCUCCCUGUGGCCACCGAGCCCUUGGAACGUGGCCAGUUCCAUUCUCAAACUGCUGUGAGUGCAAAGCUCAUGCUGGAUUUUGAAGAUUUGAUAGAAUUUCACCCUGUUAGCCAGGAUGGUCUCAAUCUCCUGACCUUGUGAUCUGGCCGCCUCGGCCUCCCAAAGUGCUGGGAUUACAGGUGUGAGCCACCGCGCCCGGCCUGUCUUCUUCUUCCUAAGGUCUCACUCUGUCACCCAGGCUGAAGUGCAGUGGCACCAUCACAGAUCACUGCAGACUCCACCUCCUGGGCUCAAGCAAUCCUCCUGUCUCAGCCUCCCGAGUAGCUGGAACUCCCAAGUAACACACACAUUAGCAUGCCCAGCUAAUGUUUAAAUUAGGGUUUUAAUUCACAGAGAAAUAAAGAGCAUCUGAGCAUUCAUCUUCCACAAAAGCAAUCUGAAAUUGUCUCUGUAAGUGGGCGCCCUGUCUUUCUGCAGGCUCAGAGUGGAGAAUGAGGUUGCAUCUCAGGAUGGCCACAGCGCCUUCCUUCCCAAGCCCUUUCUUCAGCAGCCGUGGUGGGAGCUGCAGCCGAAAAGCCCCUUUGGAGUUGCAGCUAGAGGGUGCCUUCCAGGAGCUGCUGGGCCAGCUUCACCAAUGCCUGCAGACGGUCAGGACAGAUUCAGAGAAGCUCUGGGUCAGAACGAGGGUGAAAAGCCCCUUCCUCGAGCUUCCGGUCGAACAGCCCCAUGGGGGUGCCCUGACCUUCUUGCUCUAAUGCAGCUGCUGUUCCCCGGGGCAGCGACUCCCCUUCUCUCCCUCCCAAGUGCGGCCCUGCCCUCUUCACAGGCACACACCCCACAGCACGUGCAGUGCCUCAAGGCGCCCGAGGUGCACGGGGAGGCCCAUCAGUGCUGUUCCCCAAGCCUCCAGCUUUCUUGCUGGAAUCUUUCUUUCCCACCCCUUUGCAGCUUGGCAUGAGCUUGUCACUUGAGGUGGCCAGUGAGAUGUUGUGGGCAUGAGAGGUGGUGCCAAGAGAUCAGGCGUGACUCCACCUCCCGUUCCCACCUCGGAGGCCUGGCAGCACACGCUGGGGGCUCCCCAACCUGGGCGGCUGGGCGAGGACGAGGCGCAGACCCCACACCUGCCACAGGCCCACACUGGAGGGAGUCAGCGGCUGAGGGUCGGGCCGUUCGUUACCACCGCACAGCCUGGCUCAUCCUGGCUGACUCGGGGCAGUGCUGCCCGGGCCAGGCGGAGCAGGGAGGACGUGGUGGGGUGUUUGGAAGGCGGAGCAAGAACCUAAUAAAUGUGAGCCCUGGACUCUGAGGCCGGGCAGCGAAUGUUCUGCGGGUGCUGUCUGCGGCCGGAUGUGGGUUUUGGCAUCAUGAGCUCAGGAGAGAACUGGCCGGUGGGUGAGCAGGUGCGAAAGGAAACCGAGAAAACCCGGGGGGUACUUUGUGGGUUAAAAGAGGCAACUGCCUUUCCAUCCUGACCAGCAGAAGGGAAGACUGCAGAGACCCUCGAAUGUCGAUCUCAGCGGUUGCGGCUAGGAUGGAAUCAAGAGCAGGCCACCGCACCCACCGCUGACAAAUCUCCAGGCAAGAAAGGAGCUGAGGAAGCCACUCAACUCUCCAGCACCCACCCUGUGCGGCCACGGAGGACCGUGGGGAUGGGAAGUGUCCCCUCCACCAAGCACAGCCCUCAUCUCUUCCCGGAAGUUGCUCCCCGGCGUCAGCGUCCUCACCCAGCCACCCCUGGGACUUUGGAGUUGCUGCAGAGCAUGACUGCUGGGAUCUGCCUUCUUCCCUUCCAAACCGUCGAAGCCCCUGUCCCUGCUCCUUGGUUGAAUACUGGGGGCGUGGGCAGAAAACUCUUCAUCUUUUUAAUUCAGGGCCCUCCAGCUUGGGAGGAGACACAGCUAGGCUGGAUGCGGCAACUUGUGUACUUUUGACCUUCAUGUAGCUGGAGGACACCGGGUUGCCCUUGAGGAAGCAGGUGUAUUUUGCCUGCAGGAAGGGCAGUCUUCUGAGUACCUCGCAGGUGUCUGGAUGUGGUGCGCAUUAGUGCUGUUCAUCAGACACCUUCAGCUGUCCUCUGGGCAGAUGGCAGGGUUGUGUCUUCCUGUGGAGUUCCUUCCUUUCGCCUCAGUGACCACGGAGACGCAUGUCGAGGUGUGACCUCGCCUGGGCCUCUGCAUGAGGGUGGGGAGCAGAGUCCUCCUUAGUGGGAGUGGAGCGUGCACAGGACGUAAUUACGUGGGGCCAUUUGUUACGCAGCCUAACACAGCCUGUCCUGGCUGAUGCAGAUGGCCAUUGCAGCAGUCAUCUGCAGGUCCUCAGCUUAGUCUCACCCUCACUGGAGAUCUUAGCCUUGGCCUCACAGGUGCUCCAGACCUUUUCCUGGCAGAAUUUUGGUGACUUCAGAAAUAUGAUGACUGCUGAACCCACUUCUCCCAGCAUUUCUAUUUGUGGUUGCCUGGUGUAUUUAAAGUCUGUGUUGAUGGGUGCAUAUAUUUUUAACGUUUCCCUAUUGUGAAAUUUAAUAAAUUUACAGCAAAAUGUAUAAAAUACGAAAGUAAAAAACUAUCACCCUAGUCAAAAAAUGGUGCAUUACCCAUCCCCGAGAAGAUGCCUGCCUGUCCCUGCCCAGUCACGACUUUCACUCGCGUCCGUCCAUGUGAAGAGACCACCAAACAGGCUUUGUGUCAGCAAUAAAGCUUUUUAAUCACCUGGGCGCAGGCGGGCUGAGUCCAAAAACAGAGCCAGCGAAGGGAG
rnacentral:lncRNA from 1 species